AGCAGCAUGGCGCAGUUGGAAGCGCGCGGGGCCCAUACGUGGUGUAACCCCGAGGUCACUUGAUCGAAACAAGUUGCUGCUA
rnacentral:tRNA from 1 species